GACGAACGCUGGCGGCGUGCUUAACACAUGCAAGUCGAACGGAAAGGCCCUUCUUUUGUGGGGUGCUCGAGUGGCGAACGGGUGAGUAACACGUGAGUAACCUGCCCUUGACUUUGGGAUAACUUCAGGAAACUGGGGCUAAUACCGGAUAGGAGCUCCUGCUGCAUGGUGGGGGUUGGAAAGUUUCGGCGGUUGGGGAUGGACUCGCGGCUUAUCAGCUUGUUGGUGGGGUAGUGGCUUACCAAGGCUUUGACGGGUAGCCGGCCUGAGAGGGUGACCGGCCACAUUGGGACUGAGAUACGGCCCAGACUCCGACGGGAGGCAGCAGUGGGGAAUAUUGCACAAUGGGCGGAAGCCUGAUGCAGCAACGCCGCGUGCGGGAUGACGGCCUUCGGGUUGUAAACCGCUUUCGCCUGUGACGAAGCGUGAGUGACGGUAAUGGGUAAAGAAGCACCGGCUAACUACGUG
rnacentral:rRNA from 1 species